GUCUAUGGUCAUGCCACCCUGAACGUGCCUGAUCUCAUCUGAUCUCGGAAGCUAAGCAGAGUCAAGCCUGGUUAGUACUUGGAUGAGAGACCAUCUAGGAAUACCAGGUGCUGUAAGCA
rnacentral:rRNA from 1 species